GUUUAAAUUCCAUUUCUAAUUUAGUCACUGAGGAAUUUAAAUCCAGCCAUGGUGUUUAUCCAGAGUCCCCCACUCUUUUGGGGAGAGCUGGGGAGCAAGAUCUGCUCUUCGUGCCUUGGGCUACAGUGUUCCUUCCUCUAACGUUGGUGUUGUCUCGCCUCAGGGAUGCAGAGCUCAUUUCUUCCCUGUGCCUCAGGCAGGAGGGUUUCAUCUACCUUGCCUACAGGAAUCAGCCUGUCAAGUUCGUGAAAGUGGCUUCAGAGCCUCCGAAAUUUGUUAUUCUGGGGUCAUUCCCUGCAAAGUGAGUUGUAAAAUUCUCCAUUGCUCAGGUCAAACACAUCCCAUGGAAGAGCACAGGUCAUCCCAAAGACACCGUGUGUUCUCCUUGGAGAUUUGGACUGUACUUCAACUCUGUGCCUUCUGCUGGGUCUGGGGCAGUUGCUGGUGACUUGAUGAAGACGGUUCUGGGCUGCAUUUGAGAGUCUCCAGGUGCAAAGUGAGUGUGCAGCAGCCCUCUGAGUGUGUGUCAUACUUCUCUCCUUGGGAAGAUGAGUGCUGAUGCCUGUUUGUGCAUCUGUUUUCUCUUAACUAUUCAGGGAACAGACACCGGUAGGUAUCCAGCUGAACUCAGCCUUGGGUACACGUGUAGUGGGGUUGUGUGUUGUGUGACAGACUUUUU
rnacentral:lncRNA from 1 species